rnacentral:rRNA from 1 species
UACAGAGGGUGCAAGCGUUGUUCGGAAUUAUUGGGCGUAAAGGGUGCGUAGGCGGUGCGGUAAGUCUGUAGUGAAAUCUCUGGGCUCAACUCAGAGUCUGCUAUAGAAACUGCCGUGCUUGAGUAUGAGAGAGGUGAGUGGAAUUCCCAGUGUAGAGGUGAAAUUCGUAGAUAUUGGGAAGAACACCGGUGGCGAAGGCGGCUCACUGGCUCAUUACUGACGCUCAUGCGCGACAGCGUGGGGAUCAAACAGG